rnacentral:rRNA from 1 species
CCUGGCUCAGGAUGAACGCUAGCUACAGGCUUAACACAUGCAAGUCGAGGGGCAGCAUGGUCUUAGCUUGCUAAGGCCGAUGGCGACCGGCGCACGGGUGAGUAACACGUAUCCAACCUGCCGUCUACUCUUGGACAGCCUUCUGAAAGGAAGAUUAAUACAAGAUGGCAUCAUGAGUCCGCAUGUUCACAUGAUUAAAGGUAUUCCGGUAGACGAUGGGGAUGCGUUCCAUUAGAUAGUAGGCGGGGUAACGGCCCACCUAGUCUUCGAUGGAUAGGGGUUCUGAGAGGAAGGUCCCCCACAUUGGAACUGAGACACGGUCCAAACUCCUACGGGAGGCAGCAGUGAGGAAUAUUGGUCAAUGGGCGAGAGCCUGAACCAGCCAAGUAGCGUGAAGGAUGACUGCCCUAUGGGUUGUAAACUUCUUUUAUAAAGGAAUAAAGUCGGGUAUGGAUACCCGUUUGCAUGUACUUUAUGAAUAAGGAUCGGCUAACUCCGUGCCAGCAGCCGCGGUAAUACGGAGGAUCCGAGCGUUAUCCGGAUUUAUUGGGUUUAAAGGGAGCGUAGAUGGAUGUUUAAGUCAGUUGUGAAAGUUUGCGGCUCAACCGUAAAAUUGCAGUUGAUACUGGAUAUCUUGAGUGCAGUUGAGGCAGGCGGAAUUCGUGGUGUAGCGGUGAAAUGCUUAGAUAUCACGAAGAACUCCGAUUGCGAAGGCAGCCUGCUAAGCUGCAACUGACAUUGAGGCUCGAAAGUGUGGGUAUCAAACAGGAUUAGAUACCCUGGUAGUCCACACGGUAAACGAUGAAUACUCGCUGUUUGCGAUAUACUGCAAGCGGCCAAGCGAAAGCGUUAAGUAUUCCACCUGGGGAGUACGCCGGCAACGGUGAAACUCAAAGGAAUUGACGGGGGCCCGCACAAGCGGAGGAACAUGUGGUUUAAUUCGAUGAUACGCGAGGAACCUUACCCGGGCUUAAAUUGCAGAUGAAUUACGGUGAAAGCCGUAAGCCGCAAGGCAUCUGUGAAGGUGCUGCAUGGUUGUCGUCAGCUCGUGCCGUGAGGUGUCGGCUUAAGUGCCAUAACGAGCGCAACCCUUGUUGUCAGUUACUAACAGGUUCCGCUGAGGACUCUGACAAGACUGCCAUCGUAAGAUGUGAGGAAGGUGGGGAUGACGUCAAAUCAGCACGGCCCUUACGUCCGGGGCUACACACGUGUUACAAUGGGGGGUACAGAGGGCCGCUACCACGCGAGUGGAUGCCAAUCCCAAAAACCUCUCUCAGUUCGGACUGGAGUCUGCAACCCGACUCCACGAAGCUGGAUUCGCUAGUAAUCGCGCAUCAGCCACGGCGCGGUGAAUACGUUCCCAGCGCUGUACACACCGCCC